rnacentral:lncRNA from 1 species
GAAAGGCCUUCCUACAUUGCAAGAUGUGAAAACUGAUACGUAAUGGUGGAAUAGACUAAAAAAGACAAGGGGAAAUAUUUCAGGAUCCAGCACUAUGAUUAAGUCUAUUUUAAUUUUGGAACAUCCCACCCCUGAACGGAACAUGUGUUAUUACUGUUUGUUAGGUAUAUGCUUCGAACAGCACGGUUUCAAAGAUGCAAAAAGAACAUCUGGUUACAGGCCCAAUUGGGAAUAUGCCUGCUGGUAUUUUGUUCAGUACUUGAUUUCCUAAGCUCUGGGCUGGUAUACUAUUUCCUUGUUAAUUAAAUAUACAUCAUUGAAAGUUGGUAAAGCAAUUUCAAAAUUUACCACUGGCAGUUGGCACAGCAUUAAUGCCAAAGAAUCUCUUCCGAAGCACAUCAUAAAAUAAAUUACUUUGAU